AUUGAACGCUGGCGGCAGGCCUAACACAUGCAAGUCGAACGAGUGGCGGACGGGUGAGUAAUGUCUGGGAAACUGCCUGAUGGAGGGGGAUAACUACUGGAAACGGUAGCUAAUACCGCAUACCAUCAGAUGUGCCCAGAUGGGAUUAGCUAGUUGGUGGGGUAACGGCUCACCAAGGCGACGAUCCCUAGCUGGUCUGAGAGGAUGACCAGCUACACUGGAACUGAGACACGUUCCAGAGGCCUACGGGAGGCAGCAGUGGGGAAUAUUGGUGUAUGGGCGCAAGCCUGAUGCGGCCAUGCCGCGUGUAUGAAGAAGGCCUUCGGGUUGUAAAGUACUUUCAGCGGGGAGGCGUUACCCGCAGAAGAAGCACCGGCUAACUCCGUGCCAGCCGCCGCGUAAGUC
rnacentral:rRNA from 1 species